rnacentral:rRNA from 1 species
UUCGGGGUGAGUGGCAGACGGGUGAGUAACGCGUGGGAACGUGCCCUUCAGUUCGGAAUAACCCAGGGAAACUUGGGCUAAUACCGGAUACGUGCGAGAGCAGAAAGAUUUAUCGCUGAAGGAUCGGCCCGCGUCUGAUUAGCUAGUUGGUAGGGUAAUGGCCUACCAAGGCGACGAUCAGUAGCUGGUCUGAGAGGAUGAUCAGCCACAUUGGGACUGAGACACGGCCCAAACUCCUACGGGAGGCAGCAGUGGGGAAUAUUGGACAAUGGGCGCAAGCCUGAUCCAGCCAUGCCGCGUGAGUGAUGAAGGCCUUAGGGUUGUAAAGCUCUUUCAGUGGGGACGAUAAUGACGGUACCCGCAGAAGAAGCCCCGGCUAACUUCGUGCCAGCAGCCGCGGUAAUACGAAGGGGGCUAGCGUUGUUCGGAAUCACUGGGCGUAAAGGGCGCGUAGGCGGCUUUGUAAGUCGGGGGUGAAAGCCUGUGGCUCAACCACAGAAUUGCCUUCGAUACUGCAUGGCUUG